rnacentral:rRNA from 1 species
UAGGGAAUCUUCCGCAAUGGACGCAAGUCUGACGGAGCAACGCCGCGUGAGUGAAGAAGGAUUUCGGUUCGUAAAACUCUGUUGUUAGAGAAGGACAGCGCAUAGAGUAACUGUUAUGCGUGUGACGGUAUCUAACCAGAAAGCCACGGCUAACUACGUGCCAGCAGCCGCGGUAAUACGUAGGUGGCAAGCGUUGUCCGGAUUUAUUGGGCGUAAAGCGAGCGCAGGCGGUCAAUUAAGUCUGAUGUGAAAGCCCCCGGCUCAACCGGGGAGGGUCAUUGGAAACUGGUUGACUUGAGUGCAGAAGAGGAGAGUGGAAUUCCAUGUGUAGCGGUGAAAUGCGUAGAUAUAUGGAGGAACACCAGUGGCGAAGGCGACUCUCUGGUCUGUAACUGACGCUGAGGCUCGAAAGCGUGGGUAGCAAACAGG